rnacentral:rRNA from 1 species
AACGAACGCUGGCGGCAUGCCUUACACAUGCAAGUCGAACGGUAACAGGUCUUCGGAUGCUGACGAGUGGCGAACGGGUGAGUAAUACAUCGGAACGUGCCUAGUAGUGGGGGAUAACUACUCGAAAGAGUGGCUAAUACCGCAUGAGAUCUACGGAUGAAAGCAGGGGAUCGCAAGACCUUGUGCUACUAGAGCGGCCGAUGGCAGAUUAGGUAGUUGGUGGGAUAAAAGCUUACCAAGCCGACGAUCUGUAGCUGGUCUGAGAGGACGAUCAGCCACACUGGGACUGAGACACGGCCCAGACUCCUACGGGAGGCAGCAGUGGGGAAUUUUGGACAAUGGGCGAAAGCCUGAUCCAGCAAUGCCGCGUGCAGGAUGAAGGCCUUCGGGUUGUAAACUGCUUUUGUACGGAACGAAAAGCUCUGGGUUAAUACCCUGGGGUCAUGACGGUACCGUAAGAAUAAGCACCGGCUAACUACGUGCCAGCCGCCGCGGUAA